ensembl:miRNA MIR1255B2 microRNA 1255b-2
UCUUUCAGAUGAGCAAAGAAAGUGGUUUGCGCCUCAAGAAACCACUUUCUUUGCUCAUCCAUAAGGA